GUUACAUUGAAAGUCUCGCGAUAGCCCGGCCGCUUCCCAUAACUCCGUGCGCUCGCCCUCCCCUUCCCUUUUCCGCCAUCUUUCCUUGCCGCCAUCAUGGUGCGCAUGAACGUCCUGGCAGAUGCUCUCAAGAGCAUCAACAAUGCUGAGAAGAGAGGCAAACGCCAGGUCCUCAUUAGGCCAUGCUCCAAAGUCAUUGUCCGCUUUCUGACGGUGAUGAUGAAGCAUGGUUAUAUUGGCGAAUUUGAGAUCAUUGAUGAUCACAGAGCUGGGAAGAUUGUGGUGAACCUCACAGGCAGGUUGAACAAGUGUGGAGUGAUCAGCCCCAGAUUUGAUGUGCAACUCAAAGAUCUAGAAAAAUGGCAGAAUAAUCUGCUUCCGUCUCGUCAGUUUGGAUUCGAUUACUGGACCCCACACUUUGGAGGAAACAGUGCUGGAAAAUUUUGAGUUCAAAUUCUUGUUUUCCCACAUGAGAGCAAUGAGACCUUGAGGAAGUCAUAGCCUUGAUUUCUUUCCUCAUCGGUGAAAUCCCCUGCUUACUUCUGUAAAGCUCUCUAGACCUCAGAUGGUGAAUAAAUGCUCAUCAUUGAGGUUAGGAACUGUGUCCCCAGUGUGCUUGUUUCAUUGUAUUGACAACCUCAGCUGGCAUCAUGGACCAUGAAGAAGCAAGACGAAAACACACAGGAGGGAAAAUCCUGGGAUUCUUUUUCUAGGGAUGUAAAGUAUACAAAUA